rnacentral:rRNA from 1 species
UACGUAGGUGGCAAGCGUUAUCCGGAAUUAUUGGGCGUAAAGCGCGCGCAGGCGGUUUCUUAAGUCUGAUGUGAAAGCCCACGGCUCAACCGUGGAGGGUCAUUGGAAACUGGGGAACUUGAGUGCAGAAGAGAAAAGCGGAAUUCCACGUGUAGCGGUGAAAUGCGUAGAGAUCUGGAGGAACACCGGUGGCGAAGGCGGCAUCCUGGACCAACACUGACGCUGAUGAGCGAAAGCCAGGGGAGCAAACGGG